AUACGGAGGGUGCAAGCGUUACUCGGAAUCACUGGGCGUAAAGCGCGCGCAGGCGGUUUGAUAAGUUGGAUGUGAAAUCCUAUGGCUCAACCAUAGAACUGCAUCCAAAACUGUCAAACUAGAGUCUGGGAGAGGAGGAUGGAAUUAGUUGUGUAGGGGUAAAAUCCGUAGAGAUAACUAGGAAUACCAAAAGCGAAGGCGAUCUUCUGGAACAGUACUGACGCUGAGGCGCGAAAGCGUGGGGAGCAAACAGGAUUAGAAACCCUGGUAGUCC
rnacentral:rRNA from 1 species